AUUGAGUUUGGCGAUAGAACCAAGAAGUAGGGGCACAAGAUCCAACCAGUGAUGUUGGUAGGAAGCAGUGAAAAUGGGGAAAGUGAUGGACGGAGUAUCAUAGUUCAAAUUCCCACCCCUUUGGCUUUGCGUAUACACAUCCAGAAGGGCAGGUCUUGCAUUGCAGUGCUCUGUUCACUACUUUGCCUUGAUUUUUGACCUUAUCUGAUGUAUACUGUUGUACAGUAUAUCUCAUUUAUGCGUGUCUACUGCGUCUCAGUUUCUUUGGCCAUGUCAUGCGGAGGAAUUCACUGGAGAAAGCGAUUAUGUUUGGAAGAGUUAGUGGUAAAAAGAAACCAGGUCAUCAAAGAACAUAGUGGCUGGAUACCAUCAAAGCUGACACCAGCCAGAGCAUAGAAAACUCAAAAAUGCAGUGCAA